rnacentral:siRNA from 1 species
GAAGUGGAGCAGAAGAGUGAUCAU